UACGGGGGGAGCAAGCGUUGUUCGGAUUUACUGGGCGUAAAGCGCACGUAGGCGGUUUGUUAUGUCGGAUGUGAAAGCCCUUGGCUCAACUUGAGGAAGUGCAUCCGAAACUGGCAGCUAGAGUACUAAAGAGGAUCGGACGGAAUUCCGGUGUAGAGGUAGAAAUUCGUAGAUAGUCGGGGAGGAACACCGGUGGCGAAGGCGGCGACCUGGGGUAGAUACUGACGCUGAGGUGACGAAAGCGGUGGGGAGCAAACA
rnacentral:rRNA from 1 species